UUAGGACAGCUGAGGACAGCCAAAGUGUAUCACUCCUCUGGCUCUGCCCCUUUCCCUGGCCUGCCCCCUAUGCUGGGUCAUAUGGAACCACUGCUAUACUUCUGCUGUCCCAUCUGGAAACAGGCUCUGAAACUGGGGGAGUCUUCAGGAAAUCAAGGCCCGUCGGGGCAGACUGCUAAGCGGGCAGCGGAGCCCUGAGUAGGGGGCGGAGCUAGGCUGAGGAGGGGCCUAUAAAAGCGGCCACCCAGCCAGGCAGCGGCACAGGAGCCAGCAAACAGGGCGGCGAACAGGGGAGUUUGCGUGGGAGAGUUUCCAUUGGAGGAGCAGAGUGAAGGUAGCCCGUCUGACCUUGUUAAUGGCAUACACAAAGCAGGUGACGCAUAGGGACAUGAUCCUGCAAAUACAUCAGCAGGUGAGCAACCGUACCUGUGGAUAAGAGUUCAAGGGCUCUCUCCUACAAGAUACUGAACAGUGUGGUGCUGAUCCAGCAAACUUAAGCACGAGCUUCAAAGUUCUCUCUGGAUCAGGACCUGAACAUGCA